rnacentral:misc_RNA from 1 species
UAUGAAGAACGCAGCGAAAUGCGAUAAUUAAUGUGAAUUGCAGAAUUUAGUGAAUCAUCGAAUCUUUGAACGCACAUUGCGCCCCUUGGUAUUCCGGGGGGCAUGCCUGUUCGAGCGUCAUUUCAACCCUCAAGCUCUGCUUGGUCUUGGGCCGCGCCGGCGACGGCGGGCCUCAAAAACAGUGGCGGCGCCAUCUGGUUCCUCAGCGUAGUAAUUCUUCUCGCUGUUGGGCCCGGGUGGCCGCUGGCCAGCAACCCCAAAUUUUCUAUGGUUGACCUCGGAUCAGGUAGGGAUACCCGCUGAACUUAAGCAUAUCAAUAAGCGGAGGA